CUGGGAAGCAGAGAGUUGGUGUUGGAG
rnacentral:piRNA from 1 species